UGGGGAAUUUUGGACAAUGGGCGAAAGCCUGAUCCAGCAAUGCCGCGUGUGUGAAGAAGGCCUUCGGGUUGUAAAGCACUUUUGUCCGGAAAGAAAUCCUUGGCUCUAAUACAGUCGGGGGAUGACGGUACCGGAAGAAUAAGCACCGGCUAACUACGUGCCAGCAGCCGCGGUAAUACGUAGGGUGCAAGCGUUAAUCGGAAUUACUGGGCGUAAAGCGUGCGCAGGCGGUUUGCUAAGACCGAUGUGAAAUCCCCGGGCUCAACCUGGGAACUGCAUUGGUGACUGGCAGGCUAGAGUAUGGCAGAGGGGGGUAGAAUUCCACGUGUAGCAGUGAAAUGCGUAGAGAUGUGGAGGAAUACCGAUGGCGAAGGCAGCCCCCUGGGCCAAUACUGACGCUCAUGCACGAAAGCGUGGGGAGCAAACAGGAUUAGAUACCCUGGUAGUCCACGCCCUAAACGAUGUCAACUAGUUGUGGGGAUUCAUUUCCUUAGUAACGUAGCUAACGCGCGAAGUUGACCGCCUGGGGAGUACGGUCGCAAGAUUAAAACUCAAAUGAAUUGACGGGGUCAUAGCUG
rnacentral:rRNA from 1 species